UUCGAAAUGCCUUUUCUCGUGCGACAAUUCGAGUUAAAGAAUAUGACCGCAGUCGAAGUCGCAGCCGCAGUCGCAGUCGCAGUCGCUCUUACUCCAGAGGGAAGAGUGUUAGUCGAAGCCGAAGCCGUAGCCGAAGUAGAAGCCGAAGCAAGAGCAAAAGCAAAUCUCCUAAAGUUAAGUCUUCAAAGCGCUCAAGAUCUCGUUCAAGGUCUGUGUCUUCUCAGUCUCGUUCUGGGUCAAAAGGACGUCCUGUCUCAAGAUUUUGGAUAUGUGCGGCGGUUUGUGGAUUUGCAUAUUAGGAUCUUGAGUGGAUAAUGGUCUUGCCUGCAACUCUUUUUGUUGUGGAGAUUGGGAUCAUGAAGAUCACGGAUUCUAUGGUGGAGCUGGACUGGGGAACCAACUGCCACCUGAAUUUGGAUCACCACCUAUUUUUUGGUAGAAGCAUGUUCUAACAAAGCGAAAUAAAGACUAGUUCAUUCUUUUGGUAUCCUGCUAAUUGGUCUCUUUGACUGCUCGAAUUUAAAAUAUUACAUAGUCUCAAUGGUGUAACUUGCAUUGUUUUAUACUUGCCAUAUUUUCCACUCUGGAUUCUGCCAAAUUGCUACUUUCAUUAUGGUCAUGCUGAGGUGGAAGUGAAAUCAAAGCAGUUGUGGAGGAAACUUGUUAAGUGGCGGGACUGGGAUAUUAAAUUAAGUUCUUUCUGGAAAUUUUGCAGAUCUCCAUCAAGGUCCAGAUCACCAGCACCAGCUCGUUCAAAACAAUUAAGUGAAAGUCCCAAAAGACGCACUCCCAGCAGUAGCCCCAAAAGACGCACUCCAAGCAGAAGCCCAAGCCGGAGUAGGAGCCGUAGCCAAAGUUUGUCCAGGUAAGAUUGCUGGAAUCAUCAGCGAUUGAGGGUGCCAUCAUGCUGUGUUUGAGCAGCCUGGUCCACAGUUGGGAGUCUAAGGGCCCGGAAGAGUCUGUUGCUCUGCUUACAUCAAAAUAUUUCUGUGUCAUUGAACCAUGUCAAGACUGUAAUAAUUAUUAUACUUGUUUUUGUAGCUCUUAAUCUUGGUAAAAGACUGCAAUAUAGUAGAUGAUAUUGUGAAAAACGGAAUUUAAUUUCCUUGAAUUGCAGAUUAUUG
rnacentral:misc_RNA from 1 species